rnacentral:rRNA from 1 species
CUACGAGUUUGAUCAUGGCUCAGAUUGAACGCUGGCGGUAUGCUUAAGACAUGCAAGUCGUGCGGUAGAAGGCUUCGGCCUUUGAGAGCGGCGGACGGGUGAGUAACACGUGGGAAUCUGCCUAUUAGUGGGGGACAGCCCAGCGAAAGCUGGAUUAAUACCGCAUACGCCCUACGGGGGAAAGCAGCAAUGCGCUAAUAGAUGAGCCCGCGUAAGAUUAGCUAGUUGGUAAGGUAAAGGCUCACCAAGGCGACGAUCUGUAGCGGGUCUGAGAGGAUGAUCCGCCACACUGGAACUGAGACACGGCCCAGACUCCUACGGGAGGCAGCAGUGGGGAAUCUUGCGCAAUGGGGGCAACCCUGACGCAGCCAUGCCGCGUGAAUGAUGAAGGCCUUAGGGUUGUAAAGUUCUUUUGCCCGUGACGAUGAUGACGGUAACGGGAGAAUAAGCUCCGGCUAACUUCGUG